rnacentral:rRNA from 1 species
UACGAAGGGAGCGAGCGUUGUUCGGAAUUACUGGGCUUAAAGCGUGCGUAGGCGGAUGUGUAAGUCAGGAGUGAAAUCCCGGGGCUCAACCCCGGAACUGCUCUUGAGACUGCAUGUCUGGAAUUCGGUAGAGGCUAGUGGAACUCCCAGUGUAGAGGUGAAAUUCGCAGAUAUUGGGAAGAACACCGGUGGCGAAGGCGACUAGCUGGGCCGAUAUUGACGCUGAGGCACGAAAGCGUGGGUAGCAAACAGG